ACCACUGAUUGAUCACCUGAAGCAAGGACUGAGUCAGCCAUGGGAGCACAGGUGAAGGCGGUUCAGCUGGUGACUGGAAGGUGUGGAACCUGGCUGUAACACCAACUGUAACAAUGAUAGUCCUACAGAUUUUGCCACAGACUCACUAUAAAACACCUCUGAAAACUUCUACGUUUUAUGGAGUAGUUUUUCCCAUCUGACCUGGCUGUUUUUCAGUUUCCUAUGUGUGGCACAGCCAUCAGCCUGCUGGAAGGCUCUCAGUGUCCCCACUGGGUGCUGUUCCUCAGCAGCUGGGAAGAAGGAAGAGUGGCCCUUCGUGCUCACUGUAACAUCUGUUUCACCCACAACAUGCUGCAGCCGUUGAGGACAGGACCUGAGGUUUUCCAAAGAUGUUUAAUGAUGACAAAAAUAAUUCAAUAAGCUGACCAAAAUAAGGUACCCUACAAUGUUCUCCUUCUUGGAUAAAGCACAUAGUUAUCGAAGGUCAUUAGCUGUGCUGCAGAAGAGCUCUCCACACUGAGAACAGAUAGCCUACCCCUGAGGUAUCAGCACAAGGAGGAAUCACUUCUGUCCCUGCUGCGAACAGCCACUUUCUAUCAGCCUCAGUACUACAUCCUCAGCACGACAUGAUAGGGAUCAACAUCAUGCAUCCAGCGCCUGUAUGAUUUCAAGGGGAUAUGGAGAAGGUUCAUACUGCUCCUAGUCACCUUUCCAGAAUGUAUUCCCAUCCCAUGCAACCAUGUCAAUGUAAUGAGAUUACAGCACAAUUAUUUCCAAGCUCAUGCUCCUCCUUAGCUACAUCUCAACCUAGAGAUGCAGCCUUCUUUCCCUGAAGAUGCAGUGGAAUUUGUCUCCUCUAUCACUUCUGCUGACAAAAUGUUAAUAAUGUCACUGGGAAUACCAUGUGCUUUAUGGUCAGCUGUCUUUGUUUUA